rnacentral:rRNA from 1 species
GACGUGAGGUGCGAGCAUUAUCCGGAUUCACUGGGCGUAAAAGGUUGCGUAGGCUGUCCGAUAGAUUUUGUUUGAAAUCCCGUAGCUCAACUACGGGUUUGGACAAAAUAUCAUCGGACUUGAUGACUAAAGGGGGUACUGGAACUCUACAUGUAGCAGUGAAAUGCGUUGAUAUGUAGAGGAACACCAAAGGCGUAGGCAGGUACCUGGGUAGUUCAUGACGCUGAGGCACGAAAGCAUGGGGAGCGAA